GCAUGAAUAAACGUUCCUCUUCUUUUCUCUCUCUGUUUUCUCAUAUUUCUUAUCUCCGAAGAACAACCCUGCUACCUAGCCAUGGCGGAGAUCACCGAGAAGAUAACCGAAGAGGAGGCAAUACCGACCAGGAACCUGCCUGAGGUCCUUAUCACGGACAUACUUACACGGCUUCCGGUCAAGUCUCUUCUAAGAUUCAAUUGUGUUUGCAAAACCUGGUGUGCUCUUAUAACCGAUCCUGCUUUCGUCAAAGAACACCUCAAUCGAUCCCUUGCAAGCAAUAGCAACCUCAGCCUCAUUUUAGGAUACUACCAUCAUUACUUCUCUGUCGACUUAGAUGCUUGCGAACAAGAAGCGGCGGUAGAACUCGAUCAUCCCCAAGAGAUUUCACUAGACUCUAUAUACGACUACGACCUGUCGAACGAAGUAGAGGGUUCAUGCGACAUUUCACUCGGUAUGUACAACUCCUGCCUGCGGAACGGAGUAUUGGGUUCAUGCCACGGUUUACUAUGUAUAUCCAACUCUGUGGUGGACAUGUUCCUUUGGAAUCCUUCUAUCAGAACUCAUCAUAGGCUGCCCAAUGCACCUAUAGAGUUGGUCAGAAGCGACUUCCCCAGUCUCGUUGCUCACGGAUUAGGUUACGACCCCACCACUGAUGAUUACAAGCUGAUAAGGAUUGUGCAGUUUGUUGAUGACGAUCAAUAUUCUUGCGAUUCGGACUCUAGUUAUUCGGAUCCUUGCGAGUCGGAUGUGAAGGUAUUCUCACUUAGCACUAAUUCAUGGAGACGAAUUCGGGACAUGCCAUAUCGUAUCUACUACGGAGGAUUUGGGGUUUUCGCAAAUUAUGCUCUUCAUUGGGUUGCAGGGCGCGACUUGGAACCUGACAAUUUUAUCAUUUCCUUUGACCUUCAAGAUGAGGAGUUUCGAGAGGUUCCACUGCCUGACUUUUUGGACAAUUAUAGUUAUAUGUAUGUUGGGGUUCUUGGAGGACAACUCUGCUUUCUCUGCCGAAUCUCCAGCCGUUUUGAGGUUUGGGUGAUGAAGGAUUACGGCGUGAGGGAUUCCUGGGUGAAACUGUUCACCAUCGAACAACCAGAGGUGAUUAGUUCUCUUGGACAUGCCAGACCUUUAUGCUAUUCAAAGAAUGGGGAAGUUAUAUUCAACAAGUCAGAUGGGCCGCUUCUCCUGUAUGAUCCUCGUAGUGGAAGGGUUAGGACUCUUAGGAUUCCUGGUGCUCCAGAUAGGAUGAAAGCAGAGGUCUACAUUGGGAGUCUCAUUCCACUCAAUGCCCAAGAUGGAAUUGAACAACCAGGAAAGAAGAAAAAGCAGAAGAAGGGCUGAUGUUGGACAUGUGGAGAUGAUGUUUUGAGGAUGAGGAAUAUGGAACAAGAAAAUUAAAAGUAUGGACAUGAAGGCAGAGGGCUAACGUUGGAAGUGGAAGUUUAGCAAUGAACUAAUUGGGAAUGAGAAAACAAAUGACAAGGCAAUCAAGGCAUGGGCUUACAAAUAUCCUAUGUAUCCCUUCUUUGCAGUACAGUACAUAAUCUGUUGAUUGUAUUUGGAUACUGUUGUUUAUGGUGCUCUUAUGUUUUUGUAUGGUUUGGAACAUAUCAACUCACUGACUUCAAUCUUUUUUGUUCAAGCACUUAUAAAAAUGUCAAUACAACUAGUGGGGCAUUUGAUAUUGCA